UGCAUGCAAUGGCAGAAUGGUAC
rnacentral:piRNA from 1 species